UACGUAGGGGCAAGCGUUGUCCGGAUUUAUUGGGCGUAAAGAGCGUGUAGGCGGUUUGGUAGGUCCGUUGUGAAACUCGAGGCUCAACCUCGAGACGCCGAUGGAAACCAUCAGACUAGAGUCCGGGAAGAGGAGAGUGGAAUUCCUGGUGUAGCGGUGAAAUGCGCAGAUAUCAGGAAGAACACCUAUGGCGAAGGCAGCUCUCGUGGGACGGUACUGACGCUGAGACGCGAAAGCGUGGGGAGCGAACAGGG
rnacentral:rRNA from 1 species